CCAGGAAGUGGCUUGGCCAGACGUGGGGCACCAACAGAGGCAAAUUCUGGCACCCCAAUUUAGACCGGGAAUUUAAGGCUUCUCCAGAAGGGGCAGAGGCAGCUCCCUCCCAGGGAGGGCGGAUUCCCCAGGCCGCAGCCAGGCAAUGGAAUGUUGUGUCGCUGGUUGCCCAGGCAACCAGGGCCUGCUCGGCGCUGAGCUCGCUUCCAGGCCACCCUCCGCCAGAACCCCGGGGGCCUCCGAGGCUUGUGCAAAACUCCAGCAACUGCCGGGAGGAUGGAGGUGCCCUGGGAGGAAUACGCCCGACUGGCCUUGCAGGAGAAACUGCCUACGGAGACACCGGAGCAGAACGCGGACCACUUCCCGCCGGUGCUGCGUCUCCUGGAGAAGAGGCAGGAGCUGGCGGCUGCAGACCGGGGCCUGCGGGCCCAGAAGGAGGUGUACCAGGCCACCAUGGCGGCCCUGAAACGGCGCCGGGAACAGCUGGAACAGAAGGAGCAGGAGCUCAAGGGAUCCUUUGUCCGUUUUGACAGGUUCUUGCAGGACGCCGAGGCCGGGCGCAGCCGCGCGCUGCGGAGGGCGGAGGAGGAGCGGCACCGGGCGGGCCGCCUGGAGGCGGAGGCGCUGCGGCUGCGGGCCCAGCUCGAGGAGCUGCGCGGGGAGCGCGCGCGGCUGCAACGCCGGCUGCGGCGCCUGGAGCCCUGCGCGCGCCUGCUGGGACAAGCGCUGGAGCAGCUGCCCGAGUUCCAGGAGGUCCCCGAGCUGGUGGCGCGCUUCGACGGCCUGGCGGACACGCGGGCGGCGCUGAGGCUGGCGGAGCGCGGGCGGCUGGCCGAGCUGGAGGCGGCGCGGGCGCGGCUGCGGCGGCUGCGGGACGCGGGGCGGGACGAGCUGCUCGCGCUGGGCCAGCGGCGGGCGCGGCUGCAGGAGCGCCUGGAGGCGGCGCGGGCGCGCAAGCUGCAGUGGGAAUCCAAGUGGAUUCAGAUCCAGAACACAGCGGCUGCGAAGACCCUGCUCCUGGGGCGCGCUCGCAUGUCAGUGCUCAACCUGUUCCAGUUGGUGUGCCAGCGCCGCAAGCAGCCGCCCGCCCUGGACGUGGACGACACGGAGGGGCAGCUGGAGCAGGUGAAGCUGUUCAUCCAGGACGUCUCUGCCACACUGGCCAGCCUCGGUCAGGCCAAGCCUGCGGCCCCAGCCUCCUAGCCCUGACGCAGGCACCUGUAUGUGCUGGGCCUCCUUUUCCUCACCUGCCAAACGGAGACACUAGCAGACCCCCCCGAGAGGAUCCUGGGUGGCAUGACUCAGCCCCCAAGUUAGGCAGAGGCAGCUGCUGCCCUUCGGUGGCCAUACAGCACUCCUUUUCCCGGACGACGGCUCUGGUGCCAGGCAGGCAGCAGUGUGCGGGGGAUGGCUGCUGCUGCCCACGCGACGGCUGAGCACGGUACUGCAGAGCUGGGUGCCGGUCCUUACAUCCUCUUCCUCAUCUU